rnacentral:tRNA from 1 species
GAAUCGAGGUGGUCCAAGUCCCUCUAUCCCC